CACUUCAAAAUCUUCAUGAUUUACUUUGUCUUCUGUUAAUUUCUUUCUUUAUUCUAUUGAUCUUGUGUGUGUGUAUAAAAUUGAGCUCCUUUACUUUUACAAGCAUAGAAAUUCAAUAUACUUGUGAUUUUUUAGUCAUCGGAUUGACUCAAGAUUCGUUUAGCAUUAGUAGAGAAGAUUUAAUGAAACAUACUGUUAAUAAUGCUGCACAGAUUUUGAGACAAUUUGACGGUUAAAAAGUCAUAUGUAUUAAUACUCUUGUGCUUUUAAAAGCACGUGAAACACUAAUGAUUUGGUGCUAUUGAAAGCAUUCUAUCCCAGCUCUCUCUCUCUCUCUCUCUCUCUCUCUAUAUAUAUA
rnacentral:lncRNA from 1 species